rnacentral:rRNA from 1 species
UACGGAGGGUGCGAGCGUUGUCCGGAAUCACUGGGCGUAAAGGGCGCGUAGGUGGCGCGACAAGUCAACGGUGAAAGCUCGGCGCUCAACGCCGAGUCGGCCGUCGAUACUGUUGGGCUUGAGCACUGUAGAGGCUAAUGGAAUUCCGGGUGUAGCGGUGGAAUGCGUAGAGAUCCGGAAGAACACCGGUGGCGAAGGCGGUUAGCUGGGCAGUAGCUGACACUGAGGCGCGACAGCGUGGGGAGCAAACAGG